GACGAACGCUGGCGGCGUGCUUAACACAUGCAAGUCGAACGAGAGCGUAGAGAAAGCUUGCUUUUUCUACAAUCUAGUGGCAAACGGGUGAGUAACGCGUAAACAACCUGCCCUACGGAUGGGGACAACAGCUGGAAACGGCUGCUAAUACCGAAUACGUUCCGAAAGUCGCAUGACUAUCGGAAGAAAGGAUGGCCUCUAUUUAUAAGCUAUCGCCGGAGGAGGGGUUUGCGUCUGAUUAGCUAGUUGGAGGGGUAACGGCCCACCAAGGCGACGAUCAGUAGCCGGUCUGAGAGGAUGAACGGCCACAUUGGAACUGAGACACGGUCCAGACUCCUACGGGAGGCAGCAGUGGGGAAUCUUCCGCAAUGGGCGAAAGCCUGACGGAGCAACGCCGCGUGAGGGAAGACGGCCUUCGGGUUGUAAAGAUCUGUUAUACGGGACGAAUAAUCUUGUGGUUAAUACCCAUGAGAAGUGACGGUACCGUAAGAGAAAGCCACGGCUAACUACGUG
rnacentral:rRNA from 1 species